ACGGAGGGUGCUAGCGUUGUUCGGAAUUACUGGGCGUAAAGGGCGCGUAGGCGGCCCGAGAAGUCGGAUGUGAAAGCCCGGGGCUCAACCUCGGAACGGCAUUCGAAACUUUUGGGCUCGAGAACGGAAGAGGAGAGUGGAAUACCCAGUGUAGAGGUGAAAUUCGUAGAUAUUGGGUGGAACACCGGUGGCGAAAGCGGCUCUCUGGUCCGGAUCUGACGCUGAGGCGCGAAAGCGUGGGGAGCAAACAGG
rnacentral:rRNA from 1 species